UACGAAGGGUGCAAGCGUGACUCGGAAUUACUGGGCGUAAAGCGUGCGUAGGUGGUUCGUUAAGUCUGAUGUGAAAGCCCUGGGCUCAACCUGGGAAUGGCAUUGGAAACUGGCGAUCUAGAGUGCGGUAGAGGGUAGUGGAAUUCCCGGUGUAGCAGUGAAAUGCGUAGAGAUCGGGAGGAACAUCUGUGGCGAAGGCGACUGCCUGGACCAGCACUGACACUGAGGCACGAAAGCGUGGGGAGCAAACAGG
rnacentral:rRNA from 1 species